UCGAGCGGGCGUAGCAAUACGUCAGCGGCAGACGGGUGAGUAACGCGUGGGAACGUACCUUUUGGUUCGGAACAACACAGGGAAACUUGUGCUAAUACCGGAUAAGCCCUUACGGGGAAAGAUUUAUCGCCGAAAGAUCGGCCCGCGUCUGAUUAGCUAGUUGGUGAGGUAAUGGCUCACCAAGGCGACGAUCAGUAGCUGGUCUGAGAGGAUGAUCAGCCACAUUGGGACUGAGACACGGCCCAAACUCCUACGGGAGGCAGCAGUGGGGAAUAUUGGACAAUGGGGGCAACCCUGAUCCAGCCAUGCCGCGUGAGUGAUGAAGGCCCUAGGGUUGUAAAGCUCUUUUGUGCGGGAAGAUAAUGACGGUACCGCAAGAAUAAGCCCCGGCUAACUUCGUGCCAGCAGCCGCGGUAAUACGAAGGGGGCUAGCGUUGCUCGGAAUCACUGGGCGUAAAGGGUGCGUAGGCGGGUCUUUAAGUCAGGGGUGAAAUCCUGGAGCUCAACUCCAGAACUGCCUUUGAUACUGAAGAUCUUGAGUUCGGGAGAGGUGAGUGGAACUGCGAGUGUAGAGGUGAAAUUCGUAGAUAUUCGCAAGAACACCAGUGGCGAAGGCGGCUCACUGGCCCGAUACUGACGCUGAGGCACGAA
rnacentral:rRNA from 1 species